AGUGAACGCUGGCGGUAGGCCUAACACAUGCAAGUCGAACGGCAGCACAGAGGAGCUUGCUCCUUGGGUGGCGAGUGGCGGACGGGUGAGGAAUACAUCGGAAUCUACUCUGUCGUGGGGGAUAACGUAGGGAAACUUACGCUAAUACCGCAUACGACCUACGGGUGAAAGCAGGGGACCUUCGGGCCUUGCGCGAUUGAAUGAGCCGAUGUCGGAUUAGCUAGUUGGCGGGGUAAAGGCCCACCAAGGCGACGAUCCGUAGCUGGUCUGAGAGAAUGAUCACCCACACUGGACCUGAGACACGGUCCAGACUCCUACGGGAGGCAGCAGUGGGGAAUAUUGGACAAUGGGCGCAAGCCUGAUCCAGCCAUACCGCGUGGGUGAAGAAGGCCUUCGGGUUGUAAAGCCCUUUUGUUGGGAAAGAAAUCCAGCUGGUUAAUACCCGGUUGGGAUGACGGUACCCAAAGAAUAAGCACCGGCUAACUUCGUGCCAGCCGCCGCAGUAA
rnacentral:rRNA from 1 species